ACUUCUAAAAAUAUAUCUGAACCUAUCUAAGCAUAUCUUGCUUAUUAGUGUACCUUGUCCUUUUGAACUACUGGAAGGAGUUCACUCUCUGAAGGAGGAAUUGGCUGUUCUAAAAAGGACAGCUGGGAAACAAGACAUCCAGUGAGCUUAUGGCAAGCCGUGGAAUGCUAUAUUUCAUGAAUAUCUCUUUUAAUUUAUUUUUUUGUUCCAUGAUUUUAAAUACAAUGGUGAUGGGAAAAUGCUACGUUUCAUGAAUUUCUGCUUUUUUGUUUUGUUUUGUUUUUCUGAGGCUUUAAAUACAGUGUUGACUGGGAAAGGGAAGUUGCGCCGAGGAAGAUUUUGCUCUUCAAACUGUACGUGCCAAGGUUUCUCAUAGGAAGAUACAAGCUGUCACGAUCCCUUGCCAAUCACAUGAGAACUGACCUAGGGAGAACAUCAACCGAAGACAGGAAAUGAGCAUUCCCGCAUGAAUAGGAAGUGCAAGCAACUUGAACUCACAAGAAAGAAGUCAUAAAGUGUGCUACUCUCUAUAAAAAGGGGAAGACUUGUGGAAAAUACACCAUUUUUGUGCCUGGCUCAGUGAAAGCUAGAAAGCAAAUCUCUUCACACUCCUUGAGAGAGAAGUCCCAGGUCGUGUCCAGACUUGAAAAUUAAGAGUUAGAAAGUCCCACAGCCUGUCUGAGCUUUACGCUGGGAGGAAAAUGAGCUGCCUGAGCAGAGGAUGAAUGUUGUCUUGGGUCACCAUCAAGAUCGUGACCUGCCUAACUGAUGUGACUCAGGGGAAGAGGCUGCUGGCAUCUCUGGUGCUAUUCCCUUUUCCCAUCCUGAGUGUGCACAGAGCCAUUCCCAGCCAGUUGGAGCUCUUCCACAAGAUGGUGCCGAGCCCCGUCGCUCACAAGUGGUGCGUAAUUGAAAUACGGCACACAACCUCCUGGGGAAGGAAGAGGUAAGCCAAGAAAACAGGCUGUGAUAGUCAGAGAUAUUUAAUAUACAAAAAAGAAGUUGUUUCAUAAGUAUCUUAUAAAAACUCCAAUUUACUUCCCAAUAUUUUAGCAGAUUAUCUCAGUGAAAACAGCAGAUGUAUUUUGGAGCGACGAGACAAAUGUUUAGUGAAAUUGAAGUUAUUCAUGUGCAGUCACACAGGGAAUAUUUGCAUGAUAUUUUACUAAUUGCUCCAAAAUCUGACUUGUAGCAAAUAAACAGAGGAAAAAAAAAUAAGCCAGCGGAAAAAUUAGCCCCAGGCUUCUCUGCCUCUCUUCUAAGUCCUCACAGCCUUUCUUCAACUGCUCAACUUUUUUUCCUCUGGAAGCACAGUGUUAUUUCCCAGGGUCCAAUCACUCUUCUCAGCCCUCCAGGUUUUCCCCCGCUAUCUAAAUCUCUUCCCAAAUAGGCCUAAUUUUCAUCUUCCCUUUGAGCCCAAAUUUCUAGUCCGGUUUCUAAGUGAAAGACAUUCACUGCUGAGCUGGCGUGAGGUAGAAUUUUCUUAGGUGCAGGGAAAACACUUCGCUUUUACAGUUAACGCAUGCGUGUAGAAUUAGCAAUGCAGAAAAAACUAAUGCCAAAGCAGUGGAGCACUCAUUGCAGCCAGGAGCUCAGACUGGAGUUCCUUCAACCUUCUGUGAAGAGUUUCAAGUUACAGCAGCAAAAAUCAAGUUGUCAUUGCUGAUUGUUAUGACAUUAUUUUAUGUCAGAUCUGUUUAUUUGCCCUCCUGGAAAAAGAGAAUGUAUUUCAAGACGUCAAAAUAUUUUGUUUGCCUUCAUUCAGUUGCAAGAGAAGCCUUAGGUGAGGUAGGAAAAUGUGCGUUUAUCACAUUUUGAUGUGAUGUAUACAGCUAUGUAUUUGUAUACUCUCUAUACUUCCAAACUGAAGGAGUGCUGAGGAUGCCAGACAACAAGUUCUGGAAAAUUAGCAAAGGUCAGGAUUAAAAUUGACACGUUCUAUAUAGAAUCUUUAUGGACUGCAGGUCCAUGUGAGCAGCUCACUGGGGGUGUCAAGCACUCAGUUUCACAGAAGCACUGUUUUUUGCCCAAGGCAUGGAGUAUCUAGCAAUGGUGGGCGCUUGUUGGCUUCUUCCUAUCAGUCACUGUAGGUGGAUAUGAAUAUUUUUUAUUUUUAUGACCUCUAAAGCUACAGCUCAAGAGUUGUUGUCCAUAGGGGAGCAGGGGCUCUAAGUUGCCAUUCCUCACAAUUCCUCACAACAUUCUGGUUUGGCUGAGGCCCAUCAUGUCCUGACGAAGUAGCUGUGCUGCACACCUCCUGGCUCAUUCCACGUGGGUAUGCAGAAACCUUCUUCUCCUGCUGGCCAUGAGGUGGAGGUGAAUGGGGAGUGUUGAGCUUUAGACAUGGUUUAGUGCCAGGGAGUCCAUAAAUCAUCAGAUCAGCUGUAUAUCCUAAUGGAUCUUCAAGUACAGUAAUUCCACAGGAUCAGUUCCUUUUUAACCUGAUCUUUUUAUGUUUUAACUUGCAGUAACACAAAAGGUGACUACUGCAUAUUCUGAACAAAAAGGUAAAACCAAAGGGGAAAAUGGCUGUUGUUGUUAUGGUUCUCUUUUUCUUUAAAGGGGGGUUUUCUAUUUCUGAUGGUUACGUGUUGAACUCACUUUAUUUGGCCCCUCCCAUUUUUAGGUCGCCACAGGAAUAUGUAAAAAGGAAAUGUUUUAUUUUAACAGAGUUGAACAAAGUACACAAAACACACCCUUCCCAUUGCCUAACAUUCCUCAAGUUAAAUUGCAGAGCCCAGCAUAACUUUUCCUCUUGGUCUUUUAUUUCAUUGAAAAGGGCCCAAAAUGUAAUAUUCAUGCAGGAAGCAUAAAUUGUAUUGCUGGAAGCAAUAGCAACCUCGAAGCAAAAUCCCUCAGGAUCACCGUGCUCAGGAGCAUGCAGGCAGCUCCUGGACCAACAAGUUUCCUCAGUGCCAUGCUUCUGUCUUUGCACAGCCUAAGCUAUAGGAUUUCUUUGCUGCAUGGUUUUCUUGACAUUUUGGCCCUUGUGGACAGCUCUUGGUCUCAGGAGUAGCUGCUAGACUCUUGCCCAACCAUCCCACUCUGGGCCAUCCCUUUCAGUAUGCAUGAGUAACUCCCACGAAUGUAAAUAAAAGUUAUGUGCACGCAUCAAGGGGAAAUGGAUCCAUUUGUCAUGGCUCCAGACAAGCAGCAUCUCCCCAAGGAGCUACUUACGAGGCUAUUGAGAAGCCAGCAGUAACGCGUGAUAGGCUGCACCUUCUUCCAUGUGUGUUGCAGAAAUUAUUGGCAUGUUGCUGAUGUUUACGGCGAACAAAUAGUUUAUUUCUGGGCUAAGAAAGAUUCCAGUGUAAAUACUCAACUGGCAGCUAGCUGGAAGUUUGCCACUUGAAGCUAAAAGGCCCAUGACCAAUGGUGUCAGAUUAACAUUUCCAAGUUGGACAAUGUACAAAUGGUGUUCUUGGACUGGAAUAGAAAUAGAUGAAAGUGGUCUGCUGCAGUGCAAAUAACAAACUGGCAACCAGCUGGUCAUUGGAAAGAGAACAUACUAUGGGAAUAUGCUUUCUGCAGAAAUACUUUAUUUUGGAGAUAAGCAUUAACAAUAAGAAGAUGAGGCUCAUUUAACAAGAACCAUAUGGUCUCAUCCUGCUUUUAUUUCACUCAGUAGCAAAGCUCUGAUGAUCUUUUGUGUGUGCAAGAUAGGGAUUGCUGUUAAUAAAUAAGCAAAACAGAUUCAAGGUAGUUGUUUGAAAUUAAAAAGAAACAGUAAUGCCUGAUCUACUGUUGCUUUUUAAAAGGUAUGAGAGGGAUAGUUCUAAUCCACAAAAUGCUAUUUCAGGAGAUUGUAACUGAAAGGAAGUGGGAUUAAAGGUGUUUGUUGGAAAACAACUUCUGAUAAAAUCAGGCGAAGAUCCACUCAAGAUUGAGUUAUCAACCAGUGUGAAACCAAUACACAAAUUUCUCCAAGCUGAUUUGUGGCUGGGUUCAUUCCAUAAAAAUGUUUGUAUUUUUGUGGUGAGAAAACAAAACCCUUUUUAAAAGUAGUUUUAACUACACAAUUUGUUCUAUUAGCAACUUAAUCAGAGGUAACAGCAUUUCACGCUCUUGUUUCAAUGUAAUAGCAAAAUUGAGUGAUGCAAAAAGAAAAAGCAAUCUGUGGGAACUGCACUGGAAAAUCCUGCUUUGGGAGCUUUUCAAGGAUGUAAAACAUUGUCUAGAGCUUUCUACUUUUAUGGGUAGGAAGUAGAAAAGAAGCAAAGAGGGGAAAUCUCAUUCGUACCACAGUUGGAAAGUUGCAAUAAAAAUGAUAAAACUCAUCACUGCAAACUAAUUUUUAUUUCAUUUUAUUUUUUUACAGCAGCUCAACUUUGUUGUUUUGGUUGCAAAAAGGCAGCAAGACGGAAGCUUCAUUUAUCGUAAAGAUAAAUAAGAUAAAUUAAAAAAAAUAAGAUUUGAACACGGAAAAAAUGUGCAGAUCUUGUACUCAGCAAUUCACUUCUGCCUUUGGAGAUAAUACCAAUCCUAUUGAUUUCCAUAUGCCUGAAGACAGCUCAGCAAUAUCAAAAUUGCAUUGUAUUACAUAUUUAGAUACGUAGCAGAAAUGCUGAGUCAUGGCCUGAAGCAGUGAUUGAGCACCUUGUGAGAAGGCAGGGCCAACCCAGGGUAACUCAGGUGUAUGUAAUGUGCCUGAGUGACCAGAAGGUGUGGAGCCAGAAUCCUUUCCAGACCUUAUUUAAGGGUUGACAGUAAAGGCAAGGGGGUUUUGUUGGAGAUUCCUAUAUACUUGAGGUCUUCUGAAGGUAAGCAGAUUCUUUCCUUUGCUCUGUCUGCUGCUGUUGCAUUUGAGCAUAUUCUUACUUGCUGUGCCCUAAGACUUCACUACUAUGUUGUCACUGUCCUUGCUUUACUUUCCAUUGCAUUAUAGCUUUAUGAGAUGUGUUGCAUUUCUAACUGGUUUUGCUGCCGAAGGUUAUGAGUUUUUCUUUCCUCUUUGUAUUAAGAUAUAGCAAAUAAUAGAAGCUGAGGGAAAUUAUAGGCAAUCAUAAGGGUUCACGUGCUCAGUUCAGCUGUCUUAGUCUCCUCUUUUCACUUGGAAUAUCCAUUCUCCUUCCUCAGUACUUUUCUUGCCAUGGUGGCAAGGCAGUCUUUCAGCCCCCAUCUGAAAAAAAACAGGUUUCCCAGCCUGCAUUCCUCUACACUGGGAGUUGUUUCAGGGUAGACCAAUGGUGAAGGCAAUCCUAUGUGUGCCCUACUGGCUGACUGUUUUCAUGAUGGAUGUGCAUAUGAAACAUGACCCUCAUCCAAAGCCCUUCAAAUACUGGGAGGUUUCCUGCUUCACAGUUGAGGGCAGGCUGUACACAGGUAAAUCCAAAUUAUCAGGAUUCAAUUUUUCCCAAGUUUUCAGCAGUUUUCCAGCAAAAGUGAAUGAGAGGUGACUUCUGCUUCCUCUCUGUUUAUAGGGGCAGUAUUCAUUUGCAGUGUUAUGGGUAGGCAGCUCUGCUCCCCAAGUGGGACUGUGCUGCCUCACCACCGGUUCCCCAAAACUGGGAGAGAACGCUCAGUCCUCUCCCUUUAUCCUGCUGACUCCCUCACUUUUCUCCUCCCCAAGCAGCAGGGAUAGCUGAAGGAGCCUGUCAUCCUUUUAUUGCUGUUUCUAAUAAACACAUAUGGUGAUGCAUAUAACAAUAACAACAGCAAGUUGCUAUUGUUCCACACACGGCCAUAUGUGGGCUGUCCAGUGGCUCAGCGCGGCGCUGCCAUGAGCAGCUGUGCUGUGAGCACUCAGGAAUGUCGAUAGCCCAAAGAGAAAGGAAUGGCUGUAAGGAUUCUGAGCCUCGCAAAUGGUGCUUCUGCUUCACAUGCUGCUGUUGCUAAAACAACUUCUUGAGUGUCGUGUGCCAAAAGUGUAGACGCGGUGUUAGUCACCACAGAAGUUUCUAAGGUGAUUAAAUUGCUAAUGAUUGAGAUGUGGAGGCCUAAGGAUAAGCUGGGACCCUGUUGAAGCAAGCUUUGCAAACCAAAAUGAACAUAUAAACUGCAUAUAUAUGUUCAUACUUAUGUGUGUGAGGUGUGUAUGUUUAUACUAUUUGUAUUUCCUUUUGACACCAGAGAUGCAGAAGUGAUGGCUGCAAUGCUUUGCCUACCAUCAGUGUUUCUCACAGUCUUUUAGGUGCUUCUAUUCCCAAUAUUGUGUUAUGCAGUGACCUGACAGAAAAACAAACAGCCCGUAUGCAUAUCUUCAUCCUUCUUUGAGUGUGCUGAUAGGAGAGAAACUGCAAGUAAGAGAAGAAACAAAUAAAUCUUAAAAGCAGGCAACCUUUUUCAAAUUUGGACAAACACCAUCAGGCAAGCAUAUCUUUAUUUAAGCACUUGAAUAAUUCAACUAUUUUUUAAAUUUCUUUUAAUGAGAUGCUGAGUACCUACUGUAAAUAAGAGGAGAGAGAAAAUUGUAAAGGAUCCAAAAGUUCAACUACUUGCAUAUGUCUCUGAGCAUGGAGUUUGGAAGUUGCAUUUGAAUAUCAAAGUGUGAGUGGUUUCGGUCUGUGUUUGUGAUGCAGGGCAGGAAGUCCUCAGCACUGCACUCCUUUUGCUCCUUGCAUAAUCACCUGUAUAAUGGUGAGAUUUCAGAGCUAUGGGGAGAGCUCCUGGCUCACCAGGAGAUGUGGCAUCUGCAGUCACAGUGCUGUGUGCUGGGUCCAGCCACUGGGAACCGUGAAUGUUUUUACCAAGUCCGUGAAACCACAAACAUUUGCAUUCUCAAACAUCCUAACAAAAAGCACAACUUUUUAGCAUCUGCAUGACUUACUUUUCAAUAUUGUACACAGUAGCCCAAGAAAGAAAAGAAAGAAAAAGGAUAACUUAUAUUUACUCCGGCUUAGGCAGUUCUCUCCAAUGGGUAGAGCCAAAAUGCCUGUGCCAAUCUUUCCUGGAGUAACAAAAGGACAGAUUUCACCCCCUGGUAGAUGUGUAUGGCUCUCAUUUUCUUCAGGGAAUGGUGGCAGGACUUCAAAAACAGCCUGUGCUGAGGCCUGAUUCUCAGAGGUCCCGCACAUCCCUGGUUCCUGUUGGCUUGUAAGCGAUGUGCAGCCUGAGGUUUUGCUCAUCCCUCAGAUGAAGCUUUCAAAACUCGUGAUGUCUCAGCAUGAGUCAGUGUUUUAUGUAACCCCAGCUUGCAUUCCUCCAAACCCCUCCUGAGCUCAGAGAGCUCCAACAGCCAAUCUCAAAUUCUUCUUCCUUGCAGCUGACAGCAUCAUUCCCUGAUUGGCGGCACAAGAGGCUUCUCAAACCCUUCCCAAGGCUUUCUGGAGCUCUGACACAACUCUCCCGAACGCUGGGGGCCUGGAUCACUGCCAGGAGCAAGGCUGGGGAAAAAUCUGGGCUGAAGGAGGGAGCUCCUGGUGGACUGCCCCAACGGGAAGAUGAUUACUUUCCUAUACUCAAAACAGAAAUGGCCAUUUCCAGGUUUUUAAGCUGUUUUUGUUCUCUUCCUUGCAAUGAGAUUGGUUUUUUUCCAUGUUUCCAGAGGAGAAACAGAACAAAAAGAACCUCACAUUUUUAAUGGAAACAUGAUAGGAAGGGAAGACAGAUGUGUUCCAUUCAUUUCUGGUGGAGCACCUUGAGUAUCAGCUUUCUUUUAUGACCCAGCUUACCAGGCUAGAGGUGGGCAUCCAAGCAAGCUUCAGGAGUGGCUUAGUAUACCCUGAUUAUUUUUCACCAUUCUAUGUGAACACAGUGAGAAAUAUGCACUACAAACAAGAGCAGAUAAAGCAGCAAGAGAAAGCAGGAAGCUAAACACCUCCCAUUCUUCCAUCCUGGUUGAUGCGCAGUUAAAGAGUGCAAUAUUUUGGUUUGUGAUUGUGAUUUUCUAUUAGUCAUGAUGUGUUAUAACCUAAAACCUAAAAGAGUGGUCAGGUGCUGGAUCAGGUUGCCCAGAGAGGUGAUGGGUGCCUUGUCCUUGGAAACACUCAAGGUCAUGCUGGACAGGGCUCUGAGCACCUUUUGAGCUGCACGUGUUCAUUGCAGGGGGAUUGGAUCAGAUGACCAUUAGGGGUCCCUUCCAACAAAUGGUUCUACAUUUUUAUCAGAAUGGCUGUCUUUCUCCCUCCAAGAUAAAACACAAGUUGACUGGAGCAAUGGCUUUUGGAUGUUGAGUUGAAGACAUUGCUGUACUGGAAACUUUUUUCAACGUGGGAGAGCAGAGCAUGAGGAACAUUAGUUGUUUGAUGCAGUCUGUGAGAUAUUGCU